rnacentral:sRNA from 1 species
GCACUUCGCCUAGCUAACAGCUCGUCUGCAGCUUUCUUAGCUCCUUGUUCGUCUGUAGCUUUCCUAGCUCGCAGUUCGUCUAGCUAGCACCUAGUCUGCACUUUUCCUAGCUCACAGUCCGUCUGCAGUUUCUCUGACUCGUAGUUCGCCCAGCUAACAGCUCGUCGGCAGCCUUCCUAGCUUGCUAUUGCCCGCCUAACAGCUCGUCAACAGCUUGGAGUUCUUCAACAAGUCUCCUAGCAGCUUUCCUAGCUCACAACUUGUCAACAGCUAACAUUUUGAGUUCGAGAUAGCAACACCCGUCAAGAACAGAAUCUCGUAGCACCAAGAAAAAACAAGCCUUACUUUCAAAAGAUACGGAUUAGUCAGUUUAGAUGCGAAAGCAGCUGGCUCGGUCACACCAUUCAUGAAGCUCGUGGCAUUAACUCUUAACCAACGAGCUGGGGGGCUAACUGUUGGGGUCGGAUUCCCCCACAAGCAAGACCGAGCCAAACAGUCUAAGAAUAACAAUCACCUCAUGGUUAAACAUAUGAUUGGCCCCUAGCCUAGAACAAAGCACCUCGGGACCUUAUUCGAUCGACCGUCCCGAAGAGAGUUUGUAAAAUGGCUCGGGUGUUAAUCAUAUGAACACAGCCCGAGCCAAUCGCGAGAACGCUGCGGGAAACAUCUAUAUCGGCUCGGGAGACAGCCAACUGAGCUUAAUGGACAGUCAUCAAGCGCGCCCCGAGCCGGUACAUACCGUUUGCCCCGAAGCCACCUCUCAAACGACCACCGAGCCGUGAAGAACACGCGAGGCAAAGACUUAAGGAGAAUCUUUGAAGAUAAUGUUGAAAUCAGGAAAUCUCCCCAAAACCUCCGAAGAAUAAGGAGAAUAUCCUUAGGACGAUUAUCCUCUAGAACCGACCUAAGGAUAAAUAAGAAUCUUCCGAAGAAUAUCGCUAAGGGGGCGGUUUAAGGAUCCUAUAUAAAGUGCCUCAGGGACUUCACAAGAGGGGGAUCUUUGGAUACUCACAAGAACACAUAACUUUAUACCUAUUGAGAACUACGAAUGGCUUGAUCCCUUCACAGGGUACGUAAGCAAUCCAUCAUGGAUGCAGCUAUACCUUUUUAAAACCCUAACUCUUUUUCUGUUCUUGAGCAAAACCCUAAUGUAUUUCAUAAGAGAUUAGAACAUCUUUUGUAAUCGAGUCUUGGAUAGAAUACCUAAUGAAGAGAAAUUACUAGAUUUGUUUUCCCUCUCUAAACAAAUCUAUUGUGUGAAUCCUUGGUUCAACACAACUCAAGUUUUUUCUCAUCUAAUUUGAAAAUGUUUCUGAGACAUCAACAAAUGUAUGAGGAGAGGUUUCUCAGACACAUGGAGGUGCUGCAACAAACACGAUCGACGAAAUAUGAGCCAACAAAGAUGGGAAAUCAGAAUCUCACGGGUCAGGAUUUUGAUCAUGUGCAACAAAUGAUCGAUAUAUGGAGGAGGUCGAAGAUCAAUCCCAAGGAAGCUAUUUAGAAGCUUCCAGUUAUCCAGAGCUCAAGAUCUGAACACAACACCUUAAAAAACACCAAAAACUCUCACGGGAAUUUUGUCGAACAGGUGGUGUGCAUCUCAACCCAUAACGUUUCUUAUGAUUCUGGGAUUUCUAAAGGCUCGACUGCAACUCAAAACCUGAGGAAA